rnacentral:sRNA from 1 species
ACGUACCACGCGUACACCUCUGUUCUGAACGCGCCGUCCGCACCCACCCGACGACUGCUCGCUACGUUUGUUAGCC